UUGUACAAUAUUGCAAAUCGUUUCAAUGCUUAUUUUAUAUUAUUUAUUAUUUAUUUGGUUUCUUUAUUUCAAAAUUGAAAAAAAUUUGUACCUUUAACCAAUUAAAUAAACUUUGUCUUUUGAUAUUGAUUUUUUGGUUUUGAAGAUUCAAGAGAUGAUGUAAGUAAAAAAAUUGAAGCUGGAAGAGUUAAAUUUCCUAAGAUGGAUUGGGCUUCAGAAUCUACUUACGUGACUCCUGAAAGAAAUACAUUUUCGCUUGAGAGUAAUGAACAAGACGUAUCAAAUGCUAAUAAUAAGCCAGGAAUUUUCAGUAAUGGAAUCAUCAGCGAUGAAUCUCAAUCUGAUGGAGAAAAUGAAGAUGAUGACUAUGUAAUAUAAUUUUACAACAACAACAAAAAGUUAUAAUCAGAAACAAUUUUUACUGUUUCAAAUAGUUACUUAAGAUGCGGUUGGAGGUACAAACACAGUUUUUCAAUGAUGAUUGUUUUUUUUUUUAAAGAAACCUUCUAAUAAAAACCCAGCUCUGUACGUGCCUAGUGUUAAAUUUAAUGAAUCAUUCUACCAAAAGAAAAUAUAAAUCAGACUUUUUUUCUAAACUUGAGAAUUACGAAAUGCAAAAAGGGGCAGACCUCCAGCCGCCCCUUGACCGUGUACAUUAACAGUUAUUUGUUUUAAUUCUGUUUGUUAUUGCUAGCUAUUGUGGUCAUCUCCUGUUUGCUACCUUUAGUGUAUCUAUUCUCAUUAGAGAUUAUUGUAGUUUAGGAAUAAAUAUCUUCUCAUAAUAAACGUGUUACAAUCCCUAAUGAAAAAAAAAUUCUCACCAUUGGUCGCACGAUUUUUCAUGCGAUUAAUCGCGCGAAGGAAAAUAACGACUUAUCGGCAACUAUCAAACUUUUUUUGUCGUGAUUAGUGACGUGUUUCAUCGCACAGUAAGUCUCGUGACUAAUCGCGUAACUUGUAUGCAAUGCAUUUUCAAAUAAAAUAAAAUUGUUCUAAAUGCAAAAUUAGUAAGCUUGGUAGCAGAUUCAAAAGGUAUCAUCCGAAUGGUAAAACCUAUAUUGGCCACCACCCUUACAAAUUUCGUAUUUUGAACAAUUUUAUUUUAUUUGAAAAUUGAUUAGAGAUAAAUGGCGUGAUUGGUCACGUGACUAAUUGUGCUACUCAUCACAUAACUAAUCGCGUCGAAAAAGUUUGAUAAACUGAUGCAAUUAUUUGCGCGAUUGAUUAUGCAAAUAAUCGCGAAAUUAAUCGUGUGAUAUUUUAAUAGUGAUAGUGGGUCUAGUACACAGCUUACUAUAUUUCCUCGAUGCUAUUAAUUUUAUGAAGACAGGUGUUUUCUUAUUUCUUUUUUUAUUUUUUUAAUAAUUACAUCAUGUACCUCAAUAAUAAUUAUAAAAUAAAUUAGUUUGAAAGGAGCUAUAUACUAAUAAAGAAUUAGACAUUCUGUAUUUAAAUUUGGUUGUAAAUUCACCUUGAUCGACCCUUUAUGAUAUUAUUAAAUAGCAAACAACAAAAGUAACAAUUUCCUUAUAAUAAUAAUAAAAGUUAAAUUACGAUAAACCACAACAAAGUUCCCCUACGUAAUGUAAUUAUUUAUCAUUUCACCAAGUUUGAAGUUUUAUGUCAAUAUCACACAAAAUAAAUAUUAAAUUACAUGAUUUUGAGACAUUAAUCAAACUUUGUUCCAAGAUAUGGACAUAUAAACUUUAAAUUGUAUUAAAUGAGAGAUAGUUAAAAUACGUAAGGCAGCUAUUGGAUUCUGACACCGAGGCGAAAUAUAUAGAUAUUGCUCAUCAAGAUGACGUCACUAUCCCAGCGAUUAACAUGGAGUCAAAUGUAGCAGAUUUAGUUUUCUGUUAAAAAAAUAAUUUCUGUGUCAAGUAUUUGCGAUCGACAGUAACGUAUUGACAAAUGGCAAUAUUGUAUUGGUUAUAGUCAUCGCGUGAAAAGGUGCUGCAGGUGAAAAAUGUCUAUACAUCUACUACUAAAACGACAGAGGAUAACCACACUUUUUUCGAUACCUGGCUUGCAAAAACAUCAAAAUUUUUUACAAAAUCCAACAAAGAAUAAUUCAUUAUCUGACAAGAAUAAAUCAAUAAAAGAAAAAAUAGUUGAAGAUUAUAAGCUUAAAAAAUUGCUCUCAACGAGAAGCCUAUUAGCAGAGAAAAAAGGGAUAAAUUACAAAUCACAAUAGCAGCCAAUGGUGAUUCAAAUGGUGAUGAUGAUGAAACUCUUGCUAGCCACGAGCCUUCAAAUCUUUUGGAUGAAGAAGAGGAAGCAAAUAAAGAGAAUCAAGGUACUAUGACCGAAAAUUCAACUAAUGCGCAGAGUAAUAAAAGGAAACCAAACAUCCAUAAAGGAAGCCAAAGAAAUAUAAAAUAGCGGGAAAAAUUCGAGCUUAACAUAGGACAGAAGAGAUAUGAAAAGCUGGACGAAGACACGAUCUAUUUAGGAUUAGAUGUCUCAGUAGACAAAGAAAUAUGGA